rnacentral:rRNA from 1 species
AUGAGCAUGAAGAAGCGUGAGUUUCGCAACUUUCGCCAAGGAAAUCGUACUGUGGGGCAGUACGUGGAUGAGUUCAGUAAGUUAGCCCGCUAUGCCCCAGAUGAUGUGGCCACAGAUGCCGCUAAGCAGGAGAAGUUUAUGGAAGGGCUGAAUGAUGAGAUGAGUAUGCAGUUCAUGGUGGCAACAUUUAACAACUACCAGGAGUUGGUAGAUAAGGCUCUUAUGAUUGAAGGGAAGCAGCAGCAGAUUGAGAGCCGCAAAAGGAAGUAUGGACAAGGGAAGUACAAUCCAGGAGCUCAGCAGAAGCCUCGUUUUACCCCAAACUCGGGAGGAUAUACCCAUAACCAUGGAGGCCAUACCCACAAUGGAGGAAGUUUGCAUAACCACAGUGGACCCAAGAAUGGAAACGGGAAUGGAGCAGGCAGCAACCAGAACCGCUCUAACCCAGCCACGCCCGCCAAGAAGGAUUUAAGUCACAUUACUUGUUUCAAGUGCGGGAAGACUGGACACUACGCCACCGAGUGUUCUGAAGCAAAGAAUGAAAAUGGCAAUGGAAGCUCUAGGAAGAAGCCCAACCCUUUCAAUAGGGGACAAGUGAACCACGUGAACGUGGAGGAGGUUGAAGAGCAGCUAGAUGCAGUUAUCGGUAAGUUUUUGGUUAAGUCAUUUACCGCUCUCGUUCUUUUUGAUACUGGUGCAUCGCAUUCAUACAUUUCAAGGGGAUUUGUGGAUAAGUAUAAGUUUCCCACCAAAGUUCUUAGGACACCUAUGUUAGUAAGCUCGCCAGGAGCGGAGUAUAUGGCAAGCCAAGGAUGUUUUCAGAUGCCAUUGACCAUAGGUAGGCAUGAUUUCCCAUCAGACUUAAUAAUUCUGGGGCCGCAAGGAUUGGAUGUGAAACUAGGCAUGGAUUGGCUAUCGAUGUAUGGGGGAAACAUCGAUUGCGCAAGUAAGUCAAUUUUACUCACUACACCGGAGGGAAAAAGGAUCAAGUAUGUAUCCAGGCAUGUGCCAAGGAGAACCCAAGUAAAUUCCCUCUUAGGAGUUGUUCAGGAGGAAGUACCCGUAGUAAAGGAUUAUCCGGAUGUAUUUCCAGAGGAACUACCAGGCAUGACGCCGGAUCGAGACAUUGAGUUUUUGAUAGAGCCGUUGCCAGGCACCGGACCAAUAUCGAAGAGACCAUAUCGGAUGCCUGCAAAUGAUCUGGAGGAGAUCAAGAAGCUGAUUGAGUUAUUGGAGAAAGGUUACAUUCGACGAAGUUCGUUACCAUGA